CCAUCUCUGAGAUAAGUGUUGUGUGUUUGUAACAAGUCUAAAUUUUCGAUAAUUAGAUUUUCAAUAUAAGACAAUAGCAAUUUAUUUUGCUAUGGAACAAAAAUUUAAAGGAACUUUAUCAUAUAGUGACAGCUGCCGUUGAAGGAAUUCAUUAAUAGGCUUAGAAGUUGGGCAUCUUUCGCUCAGCAAAAAGGGAAUCCCUUUAAGGGUAGUUUGCAAGAGCAGAUCUAACCUUUUGUUCGAGAUAAUAAGCUACCAUUGUUAUAUAGGAUAGGUGGAUCCUCACGAUGACCUUAUUGUCAACGUCCACCCACAGCGUUGCUUGGGAUUUUAGAGAUAAGAGUCUGUUCUUCAACAUCAUAACCACCGUCAUACAGGCACCGCUAUAUCAACUUUUUUUUUCAUUCUCAAUUCUAAAAGUCCAAAUAAGCAAUUGUCAAAGAUUUAUGCUUUUUUAAUUCAACCAGUUUGUAAUUAAAAUUUUUAAACCAACAAAACUAAGAAAUCAUAAUACUAACAAAACCUAAUAUUAUCCAGAUUUUUAAUAAGAAAACAAACUUUGAAAUAUUUAAUGAAAAAAGUUUA